rnacentral:rRNA from 1 species
AACGAACCCUGGCGGCAGGCCUAAUACAUGCAAGUCGAACGCCCCUUCGGGGGAGUGGCGCACGGGUGAGUAACGCGUGGGAAUGUGCCUUUGGGUACGGAACAACCCCGGGAAACUGGCGCUAAUACCGUAUAAUGUCUUCGGCCCAAAGCUUUAUCGCCCAGGGAUCAGCCCGCGUAGGAUUAGCUAGUUGGUGAGGUAAUGGCUCACCAAGGCUACGAUCCUUAGCUGGUCUUAGAGGAUGAUCAGCCACACUGGAACUGAGACACGGUCCAGACUCCUACGGGAGGCAGCAGUAAGGAAUAUUGGACAAUGGGGGAAACCCUGAUCCAGCCAUGCCGCGGGAAUGAAGAAGGCCUUAGGGUUGUAAAGUUCUUUUAGUGGUGACGAUAAUGACGGUAGCCACAGAAAAAGCUCCGGCUAACUCCGUGCCAGCCGCCGCCGUAA